UACGUAGGUGGCAAGCGUUAUCCGGAAUUAUUGGGCGUAAAGCGCGCGCAGGCGGUUUCUUAAGUCUGAUGUGAAAGCCCACGGCUCAACCGUGGAGAGUCAUUGGAAACUGGGAAACUUGAGUGCAGAAGAGAAGAGUGGAAUUCCACGUGUAGCGGUGAAAUGCGUAGAGAUGUGGAGGAACACCAGUGGCGAAGGCGACUCUUUGGUCUGUAACUGACGCUGAGGCGCGAAAGCGUGGGGAGCAAACAGG
rnacentral:rRNA from 1 species